rnacentral:rRNA from 1 species
UACAGAGGGGGCAAGCGUUGUUCGGAAUUACUGGGCGUAAAGGGCGCGUAGGCGGCCGCCUAAGUCAGACGUGAAAUCGCUCGGCUCAACCGGGGAACUGCGUCUGAUACUGGGUGGCUUGAAUCCGGGAGAGGGAUGCGGAAUUCCAGGUGUAGCGGUGAAAUGCGUAGAUAUCUGGAGGAACACCGGUGGCGAAGGCGGCAUCCUGGACCGGCAUUGACGCUGAGGCGCGAAAGCCAGGGGAGCAAACGGG